CCCGCUGAACUUAAGCAUAUCAAUAAGCGCAGGAAAAGAAAGCAACAGCGAGUCCCAUAGUAAUGGCGAAUGAAGGGGGAAGAGUCCAGAAUUGAAAUUGCACGCAAGUGCGAGUUGUAUGGCAUUAAGCGAGAAAGCACGAGUCUGCUGGAAGGCAGCACCGCCGCAGGUGACAGUCCUGGAGCUGAUCGCGAAGCCGUGGAGAGUAGGGUUGUUUGGGAAUGCAGCCCGAAGGGGUGGUACUUGGCACCCAAGACUAAGUAUAUCGGGAGAUCGAUAGUGGACAAGUAGCGUGAGCGAAAGAUGAAAAGCAGUGCGGAAGCACGGUUAGCGAAAGUGAAACUGCCUUUGGGAAGGGGUGGUCAGCGCGAAUUUAGAGGCAGAGUGCGGAGAAUACAUGUGCCGUUCGCGGUGUGUGGGAUACGCAUGGAAGCCGUAGCUGACGACCCGCCCGUCUUGAAACACGG
rnacentral:rRNA from 1 species